rnacentral:rRNA from 1 species
GACGAACGCUGGCGGCGUGCUUAACACAUGCAAGUCGAACGAUGAAGCCUAGCUUGCUGGGUGGAUUAGUGGCGAACGGGUGAGUAACACGUGAGUAACCUGCCCCUUACUCUGGGAUAAGCGCUGGAAACGGCGUCUAAUACUGGAUAUUACCUUUCAUCGCAUGGUGUUUGGUGGAAAGAUUUUUCGGUUUGGGAUGGACUCGCGGCCUAUCAGCUUGAUGGUGAGGUAGUGGCUCACCAUGGCGACGACGGGUAGCCGGCCUGAGAGGGUGACCGGCCACACUGGGACUGAGACACGGCCCAGACUCCUACGGGAGGCAGCAGUGGGGAAUAUUGCACAAUGGGCGCAAGCCUGAUGCAGCAACGCCGCGUGAGGGAUGACGGCCUUCGGGUUGUAAACCUCUUUUAGUAGGGAAGAAGCGUAAGUGACUGUACCUACAGAAAAAGCACCGGCUAACUACGUG